AUGGCGCAACCUAAUGUCAAGCUUCUGCGCUGGAAUGUGCGUGGCCUUAACCCUGCCCGUCGCGACGCCGUGUAGGACCUUGUCCGAGACUACAGUGCUACCAUCGUGUGCCUCCAAGAGACUAAGCUCGAACACGUCGACAAUAUUCUGAUUGCAAGCAUGAUCGGGCCCUCCUUUACUACAAACUACCAAGUCCUCCCGGCUGUUGGUUCAAGGGGGAUGAUCAUGGCCGUAUCCGACGCUUUCUUCAGGCUUUCAGAAUUCCAGGCAACGCAUGGAUCCAUCUCGGCUACCGUCACCAUGCUAGCUGAUGGCCUCGACUGGACCCUAUCAUGCGUCUAUGGCCCUCAGGGGGAUCAAGAGAAGCUGCUAUUCUUAAAUGAGCUCAGGGGGCUGAAGUAUGUUGUGAAGCCCCGGUGGCUCAUUCUUGGUGAUUUCAACCUGAUCACCAAAGCGGCUGACAAGAACAACCAAAACAUCAACAACCACCUCAUUGGCAGUUUCCGUUCUGUGCUAAACCACCUGCAACUAAAAGAGAUGUGGCUCUCAGUCCGAAAAUUCACAUGGUCCAGUGCUCAAGAGAACCCGGUGCUAACAAAGAUAGAUCAUUUUUUCCACUCCGAUGGUUGGGAUGAGCUUUUUCCAAUGCACACCUUCAAGCCAUCUCCUCUUCUUGCUCGGACCAUGCCCUGCUUUUCCUCCAAGGGGAUACUGAGGUGCGUCGGCGCCCGUCUUUCAAGUUUGAAGAGUCCUGGCUUCGUCUACCAGGUUUCAAGGAAAUAG
rnacentral:rRNA from 1 species